rnacentral:rRNA from 1 species
CCGAGGCGGCCCUUUCGGUCCCGCUGACAGCCUCCCUAUUGACCCUGUCGAUGGGGAAGCGUGAAUUCAUUUUGACGUGCAAAUCAAUGAAGAGAAUUGUGUAUAGGGGCGAAAGACUAAUCGAACCAGAUUGUAGCUGGUUUCCUUCGAAGUUUCUCUUAGGAUAGCUGAAGUUCAUGAUGAUAGUUUUAAACAGUAAAGAUAAUGAUUAGAAGGUUAGUGGAAAUUGAAGUAUUCUACACUUAUUCUCAAACUUUAAAUGUUUAAGAUAAAGCGCAUUACCGAAAGGAAUGUGUUUUCGAGAAUAGCGAACUUUUAGUGGGCCUUGUUUGGUAAGCAGACUGGGCGAUGUAGGAUGAACUAAACGUCAAGUUAAAAUGUCAGAAUAGGUAUACGCAUAAAGAAACCAUAAAAGGUGUUGUUCAAUAUAGACAGCAUGACGGUGAUCAUGGAAGUAGAGAUCCGCUAAGAAGUGUGUAACAACUUACAUGUCGAAUUGAAUAGCCCUGAAAAUGGAUGACGCUAAGUAUAGGAAUAUUUAGACUUGACCUUCUGUGUUGUAGAAGUAUGCUACACAAGUAUAGGAAUAUUUAGACUUGACCUUCUGUGUUGUAGAAGUAUGCUACACAGAAGAGUAGAAGGAUAUGUUUUUGAUGGCGAAGCAUCUCUGUGAGGGGGUGUGGAAUUGAAAAUAGUGCAGAUCUUGGUAAUAGUAGCAAAUAUUUAAUUGAGAAAAUUAAAGAUUGAAGAAGAAAAUGGUUCCUUAAGAAGUGUAAUACGUUAAGGGUGAGUCGAUUUUAAGGAGAAAAUUGAGAUAGAUUGAAAUGCGUACAAUUCAUCUGAUGGAGUGUAUGUGAAUCCAAAAAAGAAACAGGUUAAAAUUCCUGUACUUAAACAAGGGUUUUGUAUAGAAAAUGGUGACAUAAAAUUCAUUUGAAGAUAUUAAUGGACAAUUUGUCAAGAGAUUUCUUUUCUUGUUAAUAAUCGAGGCGUACCUCUCGGGGUGCGCAUCAAAAACUACUCUGAAAUUGAAUCACUCAGAGAAAGAGUAGUUGGGAUUAAAAGAAUAUACCUACUAUUUCAAAGGUAUAUACAAAUUUGUUCAAUAAUCCAUGAAAAUUCAAAGAAUUGAUUUUUUUUGCAAAAAA